GGGCUCAUGGUCUAGUGGUUAUGACGCCUCCCUCACACGGAGGAGGUCGCCGGUUCGAAUCCGGCUGAGCCCA
rnacentral:tRNA from 1 species